CCCCUCUCAGGGUGGCACCUAGAGAGUUUCCAGUCCUCUACCAGUCUCAACUAUGGGAGGGAGAGUCAAGCAGAGACAUACCCAUUCCAUUCCUAGCUUGGCCAGGGGCUAGCGAGUGGAAGACCAUCUGCUACAAGU
rnacentral:snoRNA from 1 species